AAUAAAGUAGCGUCGACUUUUCUACGUCCCUCUCUCGGAUCGGACUGGUCCGACCAGGUCUAUACGGAACGGAUCUAGCUGUCCUCGGAUCGGACUGGUCCGACCAGGUCUAUACGGAACGGAUCUAGCUGUCCUCGGAUCGGACUGGUCCGACCAGGUCUAUACGGAACGGAUCUAGCUGUCCUCGGAUCGGACUGGUCCGACCAGGUCUAUACGGAACGGAUCUAGCUGUCCUCGGAUCGGACUGGUCCGACCAGGUCUAUACGGAACGGAUCUAGCUGUCCUCGGAUCGGACUGGUCCGACCAGGUCUAUACGGAACGGAUCUAGCUGUCCUCGGAUCGGACUGGUCCGACCAGGUCUAUACGGAACGGAUCUAGCUGUCCUCGGAUCGGACUGGUCCGACCAGGUCUAUACGGAACGGAUCUAGCUGUCCUCGGAUCGGACUGGUCCGACCAGGUCUAUACGGAACGGAUCUAGCUGUCCUCGGAUCGGACUGGUCCGACCAGGUCUAUACGGAACGGAUCUAGCUGUCCUCGGAUCGGACUGGUCCGACCAGGUCUAUACGGAACGGAUCUAGCUGUCCUCGGAUCGGACUGGUCCGACCAGGUCUAUACGGAACGGAUCUAGCUGUCCUCGGAUCGGACUGGUCCGACCAGGUCUAUACGGAACGGAUCUAGCUGUCCUCGGAUCGGACUGGUCCGACCAGGUCUAUACGGAACGGAUCUAGCUGUCCUCGGAUCGGACUGGUCCGACCAGGUCUAUACGGAACGGAUCUAGCUGUCCUCGGGUCUGUCCGACCAGGUCUAUACGGAACGGAUCUAGCUGUCGUCGGGUCUGUUCGGAACAGGUCUGUAUAUAUCUUCUUUAUUUUUUAUGUAUUCAUGCAUAUCAGGUACGGGUGGGGAAAGCCCCAGGUCCACGUUGGAACAA